GACGUAGGAGACGAGCGUUGUCCGGAUUUACUGGGCGUAAAGCGCGCGCAGGCGGCCCCGCAGGUCGGUUGUGAAAGCCCCCGGCUCAACCGGGCGGAGGCGAGCGAAACCGCGGGGCUGGAGGCUGGCAGAGGGUGGUGGAAUUCCCGGUGUAGUGGUGAAAUGCGUAGAGAUCGGGAGGAACACCCGCGGCGAAGGCGGCCACCUGGACCAGACCUGACGCUGAGGCGCGAAGGCCGGGGGAGCGAACGGGGA
rnacentral:rRNA from 1 species